rnacentral:rRNA from 1 species
CUCGUAGGCGGUUUCGUAAGUCGGAUGUGAAAACUCCAGGCUCAACUUGGAGACGCCAUUCGAUACUGCGAUGACUUGAGUCCGGUAGGGGAGUGUGGAAUUCCUGGUGUAGCGGUGAAAUGCGCAGAUAUCAGGAGGAACACCGGCGGCGAAGGCGGCACUCUGGGCCGGUACUGACGCUGAGGAGCGAAAGCGUGGGUAGCAAACA